UGGCUCAGGCCGAACGCUGGCGGCGUGCAUAAUACAUGCAAGUAGAACGCUGAAGAAAGGAGCUUGCUUCUUUUGGAUGAGUUGCGAACGGGUGAGUAACGCGUAGGUAACCUGCCUUGUAGCGGGGGAUAACUAUUGGAAACGAUAGCUAAUACCGCAUAACAGCUUUUGACACAUGUUAGAAGCUUGAAAGAUGCAAUUGCAUCACUACGAGAUGGACCUGCGUUGUAUUAGCUAGUAGGUAGGGUAACGGCCUACCUAGGCGACGAUACAUAGCCGACCUGAGAGGGUGAUCGGCCACACUGGGACUGAGACACGGCCCAGACUCCUACGGGAGGCAGCAGUAGGGAAUCUUCGGCAAUGGGGGCAACCCUGACCGAGCAACGCCGCGUGAGUGAAGAAGGUUUUCGGAUCGUAAAGCUCUGUUGUAAGAGAAGAACGUGUGUGAGAGU
rnacentral:rRNA from 1 species